UUCUUUUAUAUUAAAAAAUUUAACUCCAUAUCAAUACUGAAUUUUAAUAUUUGAAGCUAAUUAUUAAAGAAUUUCCAACUCUGGAUGAAGUUUUGCCAUCAGAACUUCAUCCAUAGAUAACUUCUUGGAUGUAAUUUUAAUUUGCAUGGUUGAUACCAUUUUGGAAAGUCUUAGACUAACACUCCAAUGUGGUACUAAUUCUUUUUAUUUUUAUACUAACUCAUAAGUUUAAGAGUUUAAGCUUAGUUGGGUAGGUCUUAGAAGGCAUUUACUUAAAUGAAUUGCAAUUGCUAAAACAUAAAUCAUAAAAAUAUGUAAUUGACUUGAUGAUGUUUUAUUGAAUAAAUUGUGAUUAUUAUAUCAUUGUAUUUUUUUUACUUUUCUUAUCUAUAAUUUGCAUCUCUACACUAGUUAAUAUUGGACUCUAAUCCAAGUUACAAUUUAAUUAA
rnacentral:lncRNA from 1 species